rnacentral:rRNA from 1 species
CAGCCGCCGCGGGAAUACGAAGGGUGCAAGCGUUACUCGGAAUUACUGGGCGUAAAGCGUGCGUAGGUGGUGGUUUAAGUCCGUUGUGAAAGCCCUGGGCUCAACCUGGGAAUUGCAGUGGAUACUGGGUCACUAGAGUGUGGUAGAGGAUAGUGGAAUUUCCGGUGUAGCAGUGAAAUGCGUAGAGAUCGGAAGGAACAUCUGUGGCGAAGGCGACUAUCUGGGCCAACACUGACACUGAGGCACGAAAGCGUGGGGAGCAAACAGGAUUAGAUACCCCGGUAGUCCCUGUCUCUUAACA